AGGUUUAAAUAACCUUUGUUUUCCAGCUCCUGGUUAUUCCUUGCACUAACCCUGUCUUUCUGUCUGCUUUCCUCCCAGGUUCACUCAACAUGGACCCAGCACCCUCACCCCUCUCCUCCGACUCCUCUGAAUUUGAGUCCUGGCUCUGGGACUUCUUCAAGCUGAAAGAGCUGUGGAAGGGAGCCAUAAAUGAUGGCCUGAAGGAAGCUUUCCGCACCAGGGCUCAACAGCUGCUGUGGGCUGAGCCUCGCUUAAGGGAUUUCGUCCCACCCUGGGAUGCAAGCUUCCUCCACACCCUUGCCCCUCCCCCCCACCAAGGAGCCCCCGAGCGAGUCCCUGCCAGUGUCUGCGUCUGGGCCGUUACCUCGGCCUGUGCUCAGCGAUUGUUGGACCGAACCGGAGAUGGGCCCGGCGGCCAUUGGCCCUUCCCCAGAGGAUCUGUGCCAGGUGAGGACCUUCACGGACAGUCUCCUCAGGACUUAAGGGCAGAGGAUUGGCACGAGAGGCUGAAUACACUAGCCUGCUUCGAGAAGGCUCUGGAUCAACAACUGCGCCUACUGUGUGCUCCAGGUAUGGCUGAGCUGCUUUGGGAUGUGGGUCGUCUCAAGGAAUCCCUGUUAUUGGCUCUGAAUUCCCCCAGUGCUCCUCAUGCUGGUCCCCCGGCCUGUCCGGCUAUCCCUCCUGGUCCCCUGGCCUGUCCGGCUAUCCCUCCGUCUGGUCCAGAUCCCAACCUGCUGGCGCAGCUAGCCACCAGCCUGUCCCUUGUGAUCCCCGGCCUGCAAGCGCCACUAACCCUCAGCUGAACCCCGCUCCUCAUACCCUGUUGGCGGAUCGACCGGCUUCAGCCCCGCCGGCAGUCCGGCCUACCCCUGCUCCUCGUGCUCUCUUGGCACGAACUCUCUGGUUCCCCCAGUCAGCCCUCGGGCUGUCCACUUGAUCUCCCUGGUCCCCCAGCUCUGCCCUCUGGCCCUAUGUCCUCAGUUCAGCCCUGCCUGUUUGCCUGACCCUUCCCAGUCCUGAAACCCUCUCUGAAUUCCCUGUUUUGGACCCUGGACCCCCACCAGCCAGACCCCCAGUGUGACUUUCCCCCCCCCCCCCCGACGUUUGUCUGCCAAGCCCUGCCUAGUCCAGUGGGAAAGCCGCCAGGAGGCAUCUGUUGAGGGGGCCCUGUUGUGGUGGCAGCCUGGCUGACGGCGAGUGUCCUGGUUCACUCACCCUCGUCCUUUGUCCAGUCGGCUGGGCUCUUCCUCCGGUCCCCUCCUCCUCGGACUUCCCUCACGGCGUCCUCCCAGUCCUUCCUUGCCUCGCCGCUUCCUCGGCCCCAGUGUU